rnacentral:lncRNA from 1 species
CUAGAGACAAGUCCAGCACUUUAAAACAAACUAUCUUUUCUUUUUUCCCUGCAUUUGUUAUGUGUUUUUGUAUCACUUUUUUUUUUUUUUUUUUUUUUUUUUUUUAAGGGGUCAACUGAACUUGGCAAUGCCUUAUUCUCACUAGGGUCAGUUCACAGUCCCUCACUAGAAUCAGAGUCGUCUUUGUUGUUAAACUGUCCCUGCCUAUCCUUCUGACAUCACUAGUGGAAAUAGGAUUCAGGAAGCAAAAGACAACCUGGCUAAGUUAUUCUGAAUCAGGGAAGGGGGUAUGUCUGGCUGGAAGUUUGGUGUCAGACAGGGUAAAAGCUCAGAAAGAACUUCUCUUUUUUGUGGAGUACUGAUGUUGCAUGUGUAAUGAUUUGUUUGCUAAUACAGUAUGUGAAAACAACCGUGGUACUGUAUUGCAGCUGGGCCUGAGGAGUUCAAGACUGUAACCUUUCUCUUCUCCCAAUAUUGUUAACCUCCCUUGGGCAAGGGAAGAUGAAAUUUGUGGAGAGUAAUCACUGAGUGAUUUUUUUCAGGCAGGCUUUUCAGGCAGGCUUUUCAGGAAUCUGUGUUUCAAAACUUAUAUGUAUAUUUUAUAACCAUUUUUUAUAUCCAUUGCUAGGACAAGCACUUCGGACUGAACAUAAGAAAUGUCGCUUGCAGAUGUUGUAGCAGAGUUUAUGAAGUACUUUAAAAAUUUGGAAAAGCAGCUGGGCUUAUUUCACUGGCAGCAGUAUGUUGAUGCUGGGAAUCAGCUAAGGAGCAUGAAUCCCAACAAAAGGGGUUGAAUAGAUGCUAGGCCCAUGAGAAAAGGAAUGUGUCCUUUUGCAGGAAGCCAUCUGAAUAAAUGACAGAACACGCAGGGAAAGCUCUUACAUGCUCCAAAAAAGGGAGGACUCCUCCAUUGGCUAAGGCUCUUCUGCUUUGUCCAGCUGUGCAGUGCUGCAGAUACCCAGCGUGGAUGUUUACAACCUCGAAGAGCCCCAGCCCAACCAGAACAACUGAAACUUUACAAGGAAGGAGAGGAAACAAACAGGCCUUUAACUGUCUUUCAGAGAUGCAUAGUCCUUCAGUCUUUUCUUUCCUGCCUGCUUGUAUGAUUGGCAAGAAUGAGCUUUCCUCCUCAGAGCCUCUCCUUCUUAUCUGCCUUUGGACCUCAUGAUUCUGCUCCACAGAAUCCCUGAUCCCUGCCCUGCUUUACUUAGCUUGAUAUAUCAGAAGCUGGGUUUUCUUUUUGUUUUGAUUUGUUUUUCCUUAAGUUUUUUAGAUCCUUCUAAUUUCUCCGCUAACGACUCUUAAGGCUACAAGACAUUUCUUCUUAGGGAGAUUAAUAAAAGAAAACAAAAGUGGAAUUUUUAGUCA